GGAUUGUGGUUCAGUGGUACAGCACUUGCCUAGCAUGUGUGAGGUACUGGGUACAAUUCUCAGCACCA
rnacentral:tRNA from 1 species